CACGUAGGGUGCGAGCGUUGUCCGGAAUUAUUGGGCGUAAAGAGCUCGUAGGCGGUCUGUCGCGUCGAAUGUGAAAACCCGGGGCUCAACUCCGGGCUUGCAUUCGAUACGGGCAGACUAGAGUUCGGUAGGGGAGACUGGAAUUCCUGGUGUAGCGGUGAAAUGCGCAGAUAUCAGGAGGAACACCGGUGGCGAAGGCGGAUCUCUGGGCCUUGCCUGACGCUGAGGCGCGAAAGCUGGGGGAGCGAACAGG
rnacentral:rRNA from 1 species